UUUCUUUCGUCACGUGAUAUCGUCGAUCUAUCGUUGGUAGGUUUGACCUUGAUCACCAUCGUAUGAGACUUUCGUAGAAUACUAUACUCAUUACAGACCAAAGUAAACAUGACCUUGAAAAAGAUACGAUAACGAAGAAGAGAAACUAGAAAGGUAAAAGAAAACUUCUCAACUUCUUAUUGCAAUUUUGCUUACCCUCGAUUUUUACGUCUACAAGAGAAAAAGAAAAAGAAAUAAAGAAAAGAAAAGAAAAGAAAAAAAAAGAAGGACGUUCUUGAAAUAUUCACAUAAAAAAUGUCUUCCUUUCUACCUUUAAA